rnacentral:rRNA from 1 species
UACGUAGGGGGCAAGCGUUGUCCGGAAUCAUUGGGCGUAAAGAGCGUGUAGGCGGCCAGAAAAGUCCGCUGUGAAAACUCGCGGCUCAACUUCGAGCUGUCGGUGGAAACUUUCUGGCUAGAGUCCGGAAGAGGAGAAUGGAAUUCCUGGUGUAGCGGUGAAAUGCGCAGAUAUCAGGAAGAACACCCGUGGCGAAGGCGGUUCUCUGGGACGGUACUGACGCUGAGACGCGAAAGCGUGGGGAGCGAACAGG